rnacentral:rRNA from 1 species
GAUGAACGCUGGCGGCGUGCUUAACACAUGCAAGUCGAGCGAAGCAGUUAAGAAGAUUCUUCGGAUGAUUCUUAACUGACUGAGCGGCGGACGGGUGAGUAACGCGUGGGUGACCUGCCCCAUACCGGGGGAUAACAGCUGGAAACGGCUGCUAAUACCGCAUAAGCGCACAGAGCUGCAUGGCUCGGUGUGAAAAACUCCGGUGGUAUGGGAUGGGCCCGCGUCUGAUUAGGCAGUUGGCGGGGUAACGGCCCACCAAACCGACGAUCAGUAGCCGGCCUGAGAGGGCGACCGGCCACAUUGGGACUGAGACACGGCCCAAACUCCUACGGGAGGCAGCAGUGGGGAAUAUUGCACAAUGGGGGAAACCCUGAUGCAGCGACGCCGCGUGAGCGAAGAAGUAUUUCGGUAUGUAAAGCUCUAUCAGCAGGGAAGAUAAUGACGGUACCUGACUAAGAAGCCCCGGCUAA